rnacentral:miRNA from 3 species
GGUGGCCCGGCCGUGCCUGAGG